CCUACGGGUGGCAGCAGUGAGGAAUAUUGGUCAAUGGCCGGAAGUCUGAACCAGCCAUGCCGCGUGCAGGAAGACGGCUCUAUGAGUUGUAAACUGCUUUUGUCCAAGGGUAAACCUGAAUACGUGUAUUCAGCUGAAAGUACUUUACGAAUAAGGAUCGGCUAACUCCGUGCCAGCAGCCGCGGUAAUACGGAGGAUCCAAGCGUUAUCCGGAUUUAUUGGGUUUAAGGGGUGCGUAGGCGGAUUGAUAAGUUAGAGGUGAAAUGUCCGAGCUUAACUCGGGAACUGCCUCUAAUACUGGUGUUCUUGAGAGCGGAUGCGGUAGGCGGAAUGUGUGGUGUAGCGGUGAAAUGCUUAGAGAUCAUACAGAACACCGAUUGCGAAGGCAGCUUACGAAUCCACAUCUGACGUUGAGGCACGAAAGCGUGGGGAGCAAACAGGAUUAGAUACCCGAGUAGUC
rnacentral:rRNA from 1 species